GGGUUUGUAGCUCAGGUGGUUAGAGCGCUGUACUGAUAAUGCAGAGGUCGAUGGUCCGAGUCCAUCCAAACCCACCA
rnacentral:tRNA from 1 species